CCCGACUGCUAUCGGGGUGAGGCUAAGCCAUGGGAGUCGCGCGCCCCGCCGCCGCGGGGCGCGGCGCACGGCUGAGUAACACGUGGCUAACCUGCCCUCGGGACGGGGAUAAUCCCGGGAAACUGGGGCUAAUCCCCCAUAGACCUAGGGUACUGGAAGGUCCCUAGGUCGAAAGGGGUGGACUGGCAUGCCAGUCCACCUGCCUUAGGAUGGGGCUGCGUCCGAUCAGGUAGUUGGUGGGGUAAAGGCCCACCAAGCCUAUGACCGGUGCGGGCUCUGAGAGGAGGAGCCCGGAGAUGGACCCUGAGACAAGGGUCCAGGCCCUACGGGGCGCAGCAGGCGCGAAACCUUCGCAAUGCCCGAAAGGGUGACGAGGCUACCCCGAGUGUCGUCCGCUGAGGACGACUUUUGUCGGGUCUAAAAAGCCCGACGAAUAAGGGGAGGGCAAGUCUGGUGUCAGCCGCCGCGGUAAUACCAGCUCCCCGACUGGUCGGGACGAUUAUUGGGUCUAAAGCGUCCGUAGCCGACCCCGUGUGUGGUCCGUUAAAUCCAGCGGCUCAACCGCUGGGCUGCGGAUCAUACUACAGGGCUAGGGGGCGGGAGAGGCCGGAGGUACUCCGCGGGUAGGGGCAAAAUCCGCUGAUCCGCGGAAGACCAACAGUGGCGAAGGCGUCCGGCCAGAACGCGCCCGACGGUGAGGGACGAAAGCCAGGGGAGCGAACCGGAUUAGAUACCCGGGUAGUCCUGGCCGUAAACGAUGCCCGCUAGGUCUUGGCGAAGCUUAGGGCUUCGCCAGGGCCGCAGGGAAGCCGUUAAGCGGGCCACCUGGGGAGUACGGCCGCAAGGCUGAAACUUAAAGGAAUUGGCGGGGGAGCACCACAAGGGGUGAAGCCUGCGGUUUAAUUGGAGUCAACGCCAGGAACCUUACCAGGGGUGACGGCAGGAUGAAGGUCAGGCUAAAGACCUUAC
rnacentral:rRNA from 1 species